GACGUAGGAGGCGAGCGUUGUCCGGAUUCAUUGGGCGUAAAGAGCACGCAGGCGGUUUGGCAAGUCGGAUGUGAAAGCCCGGAGCUCAACUCCGGACCUGCAUCCGAAACUGCCCGACUAGAGGUAGGUAGGGGAGAUCGGAAUUCCUGGUGUAGCGGUGAAAUGCGCAGAUAUCAGGAGGAACACCGGUGGCGAAGGCGGUUCUCUGGGCAUGUCCUGACGCUGAGGAGCGAAAGUGUGGGGAGCGAACAGG
rnacentral:rRNA from 1 species